rnacentral:sRNA from 1 species
AAAAAACAGAAAAAAAA